UACGUAGGCAGCGAGCGUUGUUCGGAGUUACUGGGCGUAAAGAGUGUGUAGGCGGUUUGCCAAGUCUGGUGUGAAAUCUCCCGGCUUAACUGGGAGGGUGCGUCGGAUACUGGCAGGCUAGAGUAUGGGAGAGGGAAGCGGAAUUCCUGGUGUAGCGGUGAAAUGCGUAGAUAUCAGGAGGAACACCUGUGGUGUAGACGGCUUCCUGGACCAUUACUGACGCUGAGACACGAAAGUGUGGGGAGCAAACAGG
rnacentral:rRNA from 1 species